rnacentral:rRNA from 1 species
UACGGGGGGGGCAAGCGUUGUUCGGAAUUACUGGGCGUAAAGGGCUCGUAGGCGGCCAACUAAGUCAGACGUGAAAUCCCCAGGCUCAACCUGGGAACUGCGUCUGAUACUGGAUGGCUUGAAUCCGGGAGAGGGAUGCAGAAUUCCAGGUGUAGCGGUGAAAUGCGUAGAUAUCUGGAGGAAUACCGGUGGCGAAGGCGGAUCUCUGGGCCGAUACUGACGCUGAGGAGCGAAAGCGUGGGGAGCGAACAGG